GAACGAACGCUGGCGGCAUGCCUACCCCAUGCAAGUCGAACGAGACCUUCGGGUCUUGUGGCGCACGGGUGCGUAACGCGUGGGAACCUGCCCUUAGGUUCGGAAUAACUCCCCGAAAGGGGUGCUAAUACCGGAUAAUGUCUUCGGACCAAAGAUUUAUCGCCUUUGGAUGGGCCCGCGUUGGAUUAGCUAGUUGGUAGGGUAAAAGCCUACCAAGGCGACGAUCCAUAGCUGGUCUGAGAGGAUGAUCAGCCACACUGGGACUGAGACACGGCCCAGACUCCUACGGGAGGCAGCAGUGGGGAAUAUUGGACAAUGGGCGAAAGCCUGAUCCAGCAAUGCCGCGUGAGUGAUGAAGGCCUUAGGGUUGUAAAGCUCUUUUACCCGGGAUGAUAAUGACAGUACCGGGAGAAUAAGCUCCGGCUAACUCCGUG
rnacentral:rRNA from 1 species